ensembl:lncRNA
CACCAGGAUACCUGCUUCCAGCUCUGCUGGGAGGAGAGACAGACUCUACAAAACAAAGCAGGAGGCUGAACCGUGGAAGAGGGGAGAUGGGCCCAGCGCCUCUCGGCAAACAGGUGGGCUGACCGGGAGCCACCCCUCCUCCCGGGGCCCCUGCAUCUGGAGCCCCCGAGGCCGGCCCUGCAGCACCGCGGAGCAGACCUGGAACCAGCUGCUCCUCCUUCACACCCCAGGGUCUCAGAGCCCUUCGUUCCAGCCCAGCUCAGGGCACAGCUGGGGAGAGACUGUAGGAACCAGAGCACAACUAGCUUGGGCCAGAGUGCCCUGUCCUUCUGAUGCCCUUCAUUUGGAGAAAGAGGCUCCUCUGCAUCCAUGUCAGAACCAUCGCUAUGCCUCCUAAGACACCACUCGAGAGAAAGUGAGCAGAGCAAAUGAAGGGUCACGUGUGCUUAACCCCUCGGUCGUGUCCUGACUCUCUGUGACCCCACGGACUGCGCCCACCUGGUUCCUGUGCCCACGGGAUUUGUGACCCCAUGAACUGUAGCCUGCCAGGCCCCUCUGUCCAUGGGAUUCUCCAGCAAGAUACUGGAGUGUGUUGCCAUUUCCUCCUCCAGGGGGGUCUUCCCGACUCAGAGAUCAGACCCACGUCUCCUGGCUCUCCUGCAUUGGCAGGUAGGUUCUUUACCAGCUGAGCCACCAGGGAAGCUGAAGGA